UACGUAGGGUGCGAGCGUUGCCCGGAUUUAUUGGGCGUAAAGGGCGCGUAGGCGGCCACGCACGUCCGUUGUGAAAUCGCCCGGCUCAACUGGGCGGGGUCGGCGGAUACGGCGUGGCUGGAGCAAGCUAGGGGGCAAUGGAAUUCCCGGUGUAGUGGUAGAAUGCGUAGAUAUCGGGAGGAACACCAGUGGCGAAGGCGGUUGCCUGGAGCUUUGCUGACGCUGAGGCGCGAAAGCGUGGGGAGCGAGUCCGG
rnacentral:rRNA from 1 species